GCCAUCCCCAUAUCCUCAAGUCGUCAGCUUCUAGAUCCAAACUUAAAAACCUUUGUUUUCCAUCAGCAAACUUCCUAGCCUCAAGGAUGUCUCCCAAGAAGGCGGCGAGCAAGUCGAAGGAGGCCCAAGCUGAUCCAUUGGAAUCAGCGGAGCAAAAGGCGUGGAGACCGAGUAAGUGCACUGACUUCCACCUUCAUGGACUUGUGAAAGAGGGGCUGCUGCAACCACGCGAUAAGAUGCAGUGGCGGAGGGCCAUAGGAGAUGUUUCACCCCGGGAGGAAUCCCAAGAAAUUGUUACUUUCCAUUCCUUUGUUCCUUGCGGAUUUGCGAUUCCUGCAUCUAAUUUCUUCUGCGGUCUUCUGCAUUACUAGGGGAUUCAGGUACACCACCUGACCCCAAAUUCCAUUCUUCACAUCUCUAUCUUUGUCCAUUUGUGUGAAGCAUAUCUGGGGAUUGAGCCCCACUUUGAUAUAUUCCGUUAUCUUUUCCACUUGAAACCUCAACCCAAUAGUUCUUCAGUAGAUAUCAUAGGCGGGGCCGGGGUGCAGUUGCGCCAGGGAGUAGGAAAAAAGUAUAUCCCUUACAAAUUAACCGGGAAGGUAAUCGACUAGAAAGAUUUUUGGUUCUAUGUCGAAAACCAAACGCCGGCCCUCCCUACUAGAACUCCCGGACCCCCGAUUCCAAGGGCAAGUUGGAAUGCAAAGGUAGAUGAUCUUGUUCAAGUUAAUCAACUGCUGGACAUAAUCGACCAAUUGAAGAAAAAGAAGAUUACUGGAGCUUCAGUAGUUUAUAAUUGGGCGAUGAGGAGGAUUCAGCCUCUGCAUAAGCGAGCAAAUCUUGGAUUCGAUUAUUCUGGCAAAAGUGAUCCUUCCCGAUUCAAUUUCGCAAAAAAUCUCUGAGACUGACGCUCGACAUCUUGUAAGUCGAGUACUUGAUGAAGUAGAAACGAGACCAGUUCUGGGAGAAGACUUUCGACACGGCAGUCAACCUUGAGAGGUAGAGUAAAGUAGUCGAUUCGAUUGAAUAACGAGUACUUUAUCUCUUGUAGGUCUUUUAAUUCCAAACUUAAUGUGCAGAUUAACCGUAGUAGUUAUUAAAAAAAGCCUCCUCUGCCUGAAGUUGUGCCUGCUGCACAAGCUAACCCAAGUCUGCAUCAUACCCUUUCUUGUAUGUUUGAAUAAUUCUCACAAGUAGCUGCUAACAAAGGUGUUUGCUUUGAAUUGUUAUCAGAUCCAUCGGGAGGAGAAGGUGAUGGCACUGAGCAGGUACCACCUGUUCAGGAGGAUGCCCUUCCGCUCAGUCCUACUCCUACCGCGAGUGCAGCAGAGACGCACAAGCGGAAGGCAACCGCUACCGAAGAGGACAACAGCCCCCGGCCAGAGAAGCGUGUGCGAGAAGCAUCGCCGCCUCCCGCAGCUAGUCCUAUUCCGGCGAGGCCACCGUCACCAGUGAGUACUAGUUGUGCAGCCGCCCAACAAGUGGAUAUGCUAGCUAAGCCCAAGGCCAAGGCGUCGGGUGCUGCAGGGGCGAUUGUACCCCUGAAAGUGCUGAGGCCCAAGAAGCUCCCGAUAAAGAAGUCGACCAGCAAAGCAGUCGAUUUGGGUUUGGGGGGUAUUAAGGCAACUGUAUCUAUCCCAGCCCCCGGGCCUAAAACUUCAGAAGCUUUGUCUAGAGCUACUUCAAGUCGGCCUGCAACAUCCACAGAGGUGGCUUUCGAGGCUGAAUCAGCGAAGCAGAAGGAAGUGGAGGUCGCUGCUCCAGGCAUGGAUUCCGCCGCAUCAGGGGAAGACAAAACUAUGAGCCUUAUUCUCCAUGAUGCCAGUGUGCUUCCGCUAAGCGAGCAGGUCAUUCCUGAGAGAUAACAAGAAUUGCCAAAGCUGCUGGUGAAAGAGGCUACAUUGUAUAAAGAAGAACUGCUCAAGUGCCAAAAGUUCUUAAGUGAAUUUGCCGAACAAGCUGCCACUAGAGCUAAAGGACUCGUCCAAGCUGGAGAAGAUCGGCAAUUUGCUACUAAUCAAGGGCGUCAACUACAAAAGAUUACAGAUCUUCAAGGAGAGCUGGAGAAGCUGAAGACAGAAACUCCAUGCAGAUUGGUCGCCUGCAGGAAAAGAACAAGACUUUGCAGGAAAAGAACAAGACUUUGCAGGAGAAGAGCAAAAAAUUGACGAAGGACCACAAAGAUGAGAUGGAGAAAUUGUCCAAGAUCUAGGCAGACAGCGACAAGCAGCUUGUUGAUUGUAUGCAAAAAAUCAAGGACUUGGCGGCUGAAAGGGAUGCCCAAGCCAAGGAACUAGCCGAUCUCAAGAUGGCGGCGCAAGCGGUAGUGGAUAUGGUGGAUCCGGUCGAGGAUGGAGCUGCUGGAGAAAAAUCUUUAAUGGAGCGACUACUUGGCGCCCCCAGAUGAUUACCAGCUACUUAUCCGAAACAUCCAAGCAGUACAUGGCGCACAUCUUGGGAUUGGUGAAGUCUUAUUGGCCGGCGGCAGAUCUGGCUCCACUCAGCGAUGGAUUAGCAGCAGGGUAUUCAGAGGAGCAAUUAGCUCAAUAUGUUGAAGAUCUAAAGCCCGUAGGUGAUAAGAUUGUAGAAAGCCUAGAACAGCCAGCAGAGGAUGAUGCUUGAACUUUGUCUUUGUCCGUUGUGGUACUUUUGUUACUGUGGUCCGCUACUGACUGUAUGACGCACUUUUACUUUGAUGUAUACCUUUUAUGU